rnacentral:misc_RNA from 1 species
AUACUUUUGGUUCACGAGAGUUGCGACUGAAGGAACCACCUGCCAAUUGCAGAAGUUAGAGAAGUGAAAUUGAAUAUAAAGACACAGAAGAGAGAACAUUUCUUGGAGAAAAAUGGUACAACUCCACAGUUUUAAAAUGAAUGGGUGGAUGGUUAAGUCAAAUAUAAUUUUCUGACUUAUUAACAUGCAAAACAAGAAAAUACAUGACAGUCUCCUAAUUAAUGAUGGCUGACGGAGCACAACAAGGUAGCCUUCAAAACCACUAGCUACUGCCUGAAUCAUCAACAGCUUCUGUGAUGGAUACAGUACUGUUGAACCUUUAGUAGCAUUUAUCUUUAUUGCUCUUUCAAGGGCUCAUAUUCUGCACCCAAACGUCUUGUCCUACUUUGGCUGAACCAGCCAAAUUGGAUAAAAAAUAUAGAUAACCAUGUAUUUAUCCCUCCUGCAGUUUAUACACCAAUAGUCAUGGCUUUUAUCAGCAAUAGAGGGAGUAGAAAGAUGUCCCAACUGCAUGGGAUUGCCUCACAUGUCAAUACGUAUCAUACAUUGAUGAUUGAGAUCAUUUAAAUCAGGUUUGAGCUUGAUUGCUACCCUCCAUCUCAAAAAAUUAUUGCCAGCAUAAAGAAGUCUCAAAUCAGCUUUGAUGAAUCAAUAUAACUCCCUGACAAAGAAGUUAACAUGACUUCAAACGUUCUAUUCUCGUAAAAGAUACCAAUUUAAUUAGACGUUUAAAUAACAAUGAUAAUCACAUGAACAACAAGCUCUCUGCUAUGCUAAGACAAAAGCAUCAAAAUAUGCUCUCCAAAUUGCAACCAAUAUCUAUAGCCACUUUGACCAUAAUUUACAAUCUCCAAAUGUCUGAUCUUGCUGUGGGAGUGGAGGGGGCUGGGGUAUAGAAGUAAGUGCCUUAGCAAAUCACAAACUACCAUUGACGGCUUCUAUAUUUUUUUCUUCAACACCUCGAAUCUACUCUCCAACCUUUUCAAACCCACCAUGAGCUUUAUUGAUCACAUUAUACAAAACAACAAGGACAUACCACCAAACCCAUCAGCCAUCGCAGAAACAAAAAUCAAAAUUAAGCUUCAUACACUCCUAAAAUACCAGUUUCUUAAAAAAAUUCGACAAGAACACCCCAAAGCAGUAAAUAUACGAGAACUACAAAAACCCAGAUAAAAUCCAUAACUUUAGGAAUCCUCGAGCUUAAAUUGAUUGAAAAAAAACUAAAAUUAAUAAAGAACUAUCAACUUGAUGAAAAGAAGUAAAAGCAAAGACUUAC